GACAGAGGGUGCAAACGUUGUUCGGAAUUACUGGGCGUAAAGCGUGUGUAGGCGGUCCACUAAGUCGGGUGUGAAAGCCCUGGGCUCAACCCAGGAAGUGCACUCGAAACUGGCGGGCUAGAGUAUCGGAGAGGUUGGUGGAAUUCUCGGUGUAGAGGUGAAAUUCGUAGAUAUCGAGAGGAACACCGGUGGCGAAGGCGGCCAACUGGACGAAUACUGACGCUGGGACACGAAAGCGUGGGGAGCAAACAGG
rnacentral:rRNA from 1 species